UGGGCGGUGGCCAAGCUGGUAAGGCGCCUGACUCUGGAUCAGGAGAUCGAGGGUUCGAAUCCUUCCCGCCCAGCCA
rnacentral:tRNA from 1 species